UCUAACUCGUGAACAAAUUAAACAGCUGUAACAACUAUGAAAAUGUAAACAACAAAGAUCGGGCCCCGGUUCCGGACCCAGCGUGCCCGCCCAGCCAUGAGACGAUCACCUACACUCGUCUCCCUCAUUUUGUCCAUUAGAUGGCCAUCAGCCUGUGCCGGCUGUUAUGCCAACUCUCCCCAACGAAGAAAAUCUAACCGGACAUUUCUCUCAUCAGAUACGCUAUUUCGAAUCUCAUACAAGUGGAUAUUUGGUUAGCUUCACAGAUGAAUUAAUAUUUAUGCACGUGAACGGUCCUUCUUUUUCUCUUAUCUUUUAGAAUUCCCUUUUUUUAUUUUAAAAGCACUAAGUGGAACAGGCGACGAAAUUCUACAAGGAUACUGCUAGUCGCCGCAAAAAAACACGCACGGAGGCAAUUUAGAGGCAAUUGUAGCGCCAAUUUAGGAACAAUGUGCCCACACAACCACGUAAAACUGGGUAUCUCACGACAAACGGUCGUGCAACAGAGCUCUCUGGGGGAGGUAAGGGGUGAUGUAAAUGGAUAAUUCCAAUUAGGCGCAGAUGCAUCACCUUUGGAAAUU